AGAACACUACAAAUGAGCGGGGUGGUGGUGGGUGGGUGUCGUUUGAGCUUAUUACAUACAGGGUUAAAGGUCAUUGCAUUAUGACGUCAUAAACGUUUCCACGUAACGUUUUAAAUAAUGAAUGGAUAUUAUUGUGUAGCGAGGUUUAUCUGAAUUAUAACUGUGGAUUUACUGGUUUGAUGUUCAAAUAUAUAAAAGAAGCAGUUCCAGACGAGGAUAUAUAUAAAUGGUGAUUGAGACCCCAGAUCUACUUGCAAGGUCACUUCUACUACGUGUAGUACAGCCCGUCUUCCUUGCCGUCGUGACGAAUGUCUUGCAUAUAUUAAUAUAUAUACACAACAGAGCUGGCGGAAGAGAUUAAUAACUUAUAUAGAUAUGAAGUAAGAUUUCGGAACCGUCUGGAGAAGUACGUUUAAGGGUCCUGCAUGGGUAUGAAGACUGAGACUAGGGUCGUCCAGACAACAUGCUGCUCUGAUGGACCAAAUGUAGACAUUCUUUUUGCAAAAUUAUCAAGCUUCCUCAAACAAAAUUAUGAUAAAUCCUUAUGUGGACUUAAGUACUACAGGUUUAUACAAUGGACAGUAUCCAGGAAAAUAUCUGACCCUGUGCUUUAACAUACAAUUUGAAAUUGGCCCACGAUCUUAGGAACCAAAGUGACCGUGACCUUUGGCGCAAAAAGGUGAAAUGUGAAUUUGUUCAAGAUGUUCUGAUCCUAAUUCUAUAUAUGUGAAGUUUCUUGAGAAACGGAUGAGAAAUGAAGCUG